AGCAGCCGCGGUAAUUCCAGCUCCAAUAGCGUAUAUUAAAGUUGUUGUGGUUAAAAAGCUCGUAGUUGAACCUUGGGCCUGGCUGGCCGGUCCGCCUCACCGCGUGUACUGGUCCGGCCGGGCCUUUCCCUCUGUGGAACCCCAUGCCCUUCACUGGGUGUGGCGGGGAAACAGGACUUUUACUGUGAAAAAAUUAGAGUGCCCCAGGCAGGCCUAUGCUCGAAUGCAUUAGCAUGGAAUAAUAGAAUAGGACGUGUGGUUCUAUUUUGUUGGUUUCUAGGACCGCCGUAAUGAUUAAUAGGGACAGUCGGGGGCAUCAGUAUUCAAUUGUCAGAGGUGAAAUUCUUGGAUUUAUUGAAGACUAACUACUGCGAAAGCAUUUGCCAAGGAUGUUUUCAUUAAUCAGGAACGAAAAUUAGGGGAUCGAAGACGAUCAGAUACCGUCGUAGUCUUAACCAUAAACUAUGCCGACUAGGGAUCGGACGGUGUUAUUUUUGAC
rnacentral:rRNA from 1 species